rnacentral:rRNA from 1 species
UACGGGGGGGGCAAGCGUUGUUCGGAAUUACUGGGCGUAAAGGGCUUGUAGGUGGCCAACUAAGUCAGACGUGAAAUCCCUCGGCUUAACCGGGGAACUGCGUCUGAUACUGGAUGGCUUGAGUUCGGGAGAGGGAUGCGGAAUUCCAGGUGUAGCGGUGAAAUGCGUAGAUAUCAGGAGGAAUACCGAUGGCGAAGGCAGGUCUCUGGGCUGACACUGACGCUCAUGCACGAAAGCGUGGGGAGCAAACAGG